UACGUAGGGCGCAAGCGUUAUCCGGAAUUAUUGGGCGUAAAGAGCUCGUAGGCGGUUUGUCGCGUCUGCCGUGAAAGUCCGGGCCUCAAACUCCGGAUCUGCGGUGGGUACGGGCAGACUAGAGUGAUGUAGGGGAGACUGGAAAUUCCUGGUGUAGCGGUGAAAUGCGCAGAUAUCAGGAGGAACACCGAUGGCGUAGACGGCCUUCUGGACCGUAACUGACGCU
rnacentral:rRNA from 1 species